rnacentral:lncRNA from 1 species
AUGACCUCGAAAUUCCGUCAGACUCCGACAAGAAUCUGCAUACGGUUUACAGAUUAAACGUAGGAGGCAAGAAUAUCACACCAGAAAACGACACCUUGGGAAGAACUUGGUCAGUUGACGAGGACUUCCUCUACGAAAAAGAUUCUGCGAGGAACAUUAAUUCAACACAAAAGCCUAACUACGAGUCAGGGACAGCGACGCCAUUCACUGCUCCUGAUUUUGUCUAUCAGACAGCGAAAACGAUGAACCAUAGCUCGAAUGAGGGGAUGGCAGAUGGGAUGUUGAUGAACGUUACUUGGUCAUUUAAGGUCAAUAGCAACUCUAGACACUUCAUCAGGGUUCACUUCUGUGAUAUCAAGAGUGAAUCACAAAAUCCCGACUCCGAUUUCUAUCUCUAUGUAAACGGACAAUCACGACUAGAUGUAAAGCCUUCAGAGCGUAUUAGGUUGGUGACUCCGUUUUUCAAAGAUGUGAAUGUCUCUGAUGGUUUUGGACUCUUGAAUGUUACAAUAGGUACUAAGGAUUCCACUAAGGAUGCUGGUUUUCUGAAUGGUCUGGAGGUGAUGGAGUUUUUGAAAAAGUCAGAUUCUUCAGAUAAAAGUAGUUUCCGGGUUUACAUCAUCGCUGGCUGUGUUGUUGCUGCAUCGGUUCUGGUAUUGAGUUUGUUGUUCACAGUUUUCUUGAAGCGGAGGAGAUCGAAGAAGGAGAAUAAGUCAGACGCUGAGGUCACUGAAUGGUCUCCUUUGCCAUUGUACAGAGGUGGUGGGAGUUCCGACAAUAGACCUUCUGAUCCGGUCAACAAUUCUCCAUUACGCAGCAAUAGAACUUUUGAUCCGGUCCAUAAUUCGCCAUUACGCAACCUAAACUUAGGCUUGACCAUUCCCUUCAUAGACAUUAUGAGAGCUACAAACAAUUUCGAUGAGCAGUGGUUGAUCGGGAGAGGCGGUUUUGGAGACGUUUACAAAGCCAUUCUUCAAGAUGGAAGCAAAGCGGCUAUCAAGAGAGGCAAGAGUGGUUCAGGACAAGGACUAUUGGAGUUUCAAACAGAGAUUCAAGUCCUGUCGAGAAUCCGGCACAGGCACCUCGUUUCUCUAACGGGUUACUGCGAAGAGAACUCGGAGAUGAUCCUUGUCUACGAGUUUAUGGAGAAAGGUACGCUUAAAGAGCAUCUAUACGGCUCGGAUUUGCCUUCACUGACAUGGAAACAGAGACUAGAGAUUUGCAUCGGAGCAGCUAGAGGUUUGCAUUAUCUCCACAGUGGCUCAGAAGGAGCAAUCAUUCACAGAGAUGUCAAAUCCACAAACAUACUACUAGACGAGAACACCGUAGCCAAAGUCGCGGAUUUCGGGCUCUCAAACUCGCGGUUCGUAAUCAAGAUCCAAUCAAUAUCAGCACUAACAUCAAAGGAACAUUCGGUUACCUCGAUCCUGAGUAUCUGCAGACACACAUCUUGACGGAGAAAUCAGAUGUUUACGCUUUCGGAGUCGUUCUCCUCGAGGUCCUGUGCGCGAGAUCGGCUCUCGAUCCUUCUCUUCCUCACGAGGAAGUGAAUCUAGCGGAGUGGGCGAUGUUCUGCAAAUCCAAAGGGAUAAUCGAUGAGAUCUUAGAUCCGAAAUUGAUAGGUCAGAUCGAGCCGAGUUCGUUGAGGAAAUACAUGGAAAUCGCGGAGAAGUGUUUGAAAGAGUACGGCGACGAGAGGCCGAGCAUGGGGGAUGUGAUCUGGGAUCUGGAGUAUGUUCUUCAGCUUCAGAUGAUGCCGAUUCGCAGAGAGCCUCACGAGGAUAGCGCCGCGACGAUCUCCGGCGGCGGAGGCGAAAGCUCGUUGGUGAUUCCGAGGUUGAUGGUGAGUGAUUCGUUUAGCUCAAACUCGAUUGUUCAGAAGAACGAAGGGAAGAGUAGCUAUGGAGGUACAGAUUCAUCGGAGAGUCGAGUUUUCUCCCAAUUGAAGAUCUCCGAAGCAAGAUAAAAUUUCCUAUGAAACAUUCUGAUUUGAAAAGCGUCUGGUUUAAAGCUUUUGAUAUUAAAAACCGGUUAUUGCCGGUUUAAAUAUAAUCAUUUUAAAACAUAUGCAAAGUAACGAGUCAAUUGAAUGUAAUAUAAAAUUAAAACCCGGUUAUCGUCGGUUUAAAGUUAAUUAUUCUAAGACAAAUGCUAAUUUCCGAAUCGAAAAACAAUUCAAUUUAAUUAACCGAUAAAAACCUAAUUUCAAGAAAAGUUCUGAUUUGAUAAGUGAUUGGUUUAAUUUUUGAAAUUGAAACCCGGUUCCUGCCGGUAUAACGACUCAGCUGUUUGUGAUGUCGGCGAUGAACGAGUCCAGAUUCCGAGCCGAUGAUCCACCAGACGCCAACGCCGAUCUCGCCGCGUGCUUCAGCUCCGUCACUCUCCUCCUCAUAUCCGCGGCGGCAGAUCCUUCCCUCACGGCCUCAAUACAUCUCUCCACCUCUUCAACCUUAAGCUCUCCGUCGACAGCGUCGUUCCUCAUCCUCACUCCGAUCCCGAACACAUCCACAAGCAAUCUCGCGUCAAGCGGCUGAUCAAUCCAGCUCGGGUACGCCACCACCGGAACACCAGUCACCACCGUCUCCAUCGUCGAGUUCCAUCCACAGUGCGUGACGAAACAAGAGAUCGCCACGUGACUCAGUAUCCACUCUUGUGGACCCCACUCAAUCACAAUACCUUGACCUUCUCUAACCAUCUCCUGCAAAACGUCGACGUUUUCGCCUUUCUCCUUUGGCCUAAUCACCCAGAGAAACGAAACUCCUCUGUUUCUCAGAGCCGUUGCUAUGCUCUUAACUUGAGUCUCCGAAGAUUUCAGCAAACUUCCAAAAGAAAUGUAAACAACCGAAGACCUAGCUUGCUUGUCAAGCCACUCCAUACAAUACUCAUCCGAUUUCCACAUAUCAAGAUUUUUACCAUCUAGGGUUUUGUCUUCUUCAUCAGCUCCCAACAGAAAUGGAGAAACCAGAGGACCAAUUGGGAUCAUGGGUUUUAAACCAGACAUCGAUUCGAUUAUCUCUGAUUCGAGCUCGUAGAACGAAUUAACCAAAACCCAUUUCACAUCUUUCAAGCAAUCGACGAACUCCACCAUUAGGCUAUUGAAAUGACUUCCUGAAGAAGGCAAGAGAAACGAAGGGAGAUCUCCAACUUCCAACAAUGGUAAACCUGGCAAUUCAACCGUUUGAUUCAAAUCUUCGAGAUUCUCAGGGAAAGCAUUCGUCUUCAUGUAGUAACGGUAAUAAACCGAGAAAGCUCCACAAGCUUCGAUCCAGAGGAUUGCACAGGGGAUGUUAUAUGCAGCUGCAACACUUGGAACCCAUGGAGCAAAAGGCACAGUGACGAUGCAAGAGAAUCUCUUUGAUUCGACGAUUUUAGACAAGUUCUUGGCUCCGACUUUUUUCAACGAUGGUAUGAGAGAAUCUGCGGCUCUUGUGUGGUCUUUAGGCAGACCGUCGGGGAAGAAAGCAAGGUCCACUGGGCUACGGUGAUGUUCUUCGGCGGCGGUGGUGGUGGAGAGGAGGUCACGGGUUUUCUCGGUGGUAGCGAGAGUGAAGCUAAGGUUUGGUCGUGAGAGAUGUUUGGCGAAUUUGAGCAUUGGAUUAAGAUGACCUUGAAAUGGUAGUGCUACCAAUAGAACAUGUGUUUCUUGACCCUCACUAUUUCUCAUUUCUGCUUUGUUUAGAGGUGUUACUUAUUAGACUUGAGUUGUGUAUGAGAUUGUGUGUAACUUGUAAUUGUGGUGGUAUAUAUAACAAUGGUUGCUUAACGAUAGAUUUUUGCUUAAAAUGAAGUUAUUAAGUGAGAUUUUGGUAAGAAAAAUCUAUAUAUAGUAAAAAUUGGUAACCCAAUAAAAUGUAAUAGAUUCAAAAGUUACCACGUUUAUUAGCACCCUGCGCCUUGUCCUUAACUCAAUUCAAAUCUUGUAUAAUUGUUGACCAAAAAAACACGAUAUAUAUACCAAUUCUAGUAUGGUUAAAGUCAACAGUCAUUACUAAUGAUUUAUGAAUCUUUUUGUAUAGUGUGACACUGAGAUCAUUGUAAUUUGUUAAUGACAAUCUAUAAACUGUAAUUGGUAAUCCAAUAAACGUUGGUCAAUAAAUUCAAAUUUAAUCAUGUGUUUCUAUGCUCUUGUAAAUAAAUAAAUAUAUGUUAUUUUCAAUUGUGUUAUGGUUAUGAUUAGAUUUAUAUAAAAAAUAUGGUUAUGAUUAGAUUUAUAUAAAAAAAAACAGGUCUCAAUUCAUUCGGAUCAGUCUCGUUUGUAUCUGUCUCACUUUUAGAUUUGAAAUCCGUUAAGCUCUAUUUAGUUUUUGGAACUAACAGAGUAAUCGGUUUAUACAUGCCAAAAUUCUUUUAAUCUAUUUAAAACCAUUUACGAUAUGAUGCUUAAACAUUCUUAAUAUUUAUUUUAAAUUAUAUAAACUAAGCUUUUGGAAGCUAAUCAGAAGCUAACACACCAGUAUAAUUACCAUUGUUUUUUUAUUAAAUAAUAAUUACCAAUGUUUCAAGGCAUGCUUGAAUAUUCCACUAAGAAAAAUCAUCGAAAUUGUUUAUACUAAUCUAAAAUCCUAGCAAAGGUGGGUGAAUCUUUUUUUUUAAAUAGUUAUACAUAUUUUCGAGAUGACAAAAUUUAACAAUAUGAUAAAAUCAUAUGAACACUCGAACAUUUAUGUAGAUUUUAGUUAUGUUAUAUAUCCAAGAAGAAAUGAAUAAUAUUAAGUAACAUCUAUUACAAAUAACAUAUCAAUUGGUAACAUCAGAUGGCAAAUCAAAUAACAUCAUUACGUAGUAAAUUCAUGUGCAUGCGUUACUAGCUAAGCUUGUAUUCACUUUAUAAAAGAAAAUACAAAAUAGCAAUAGCAAUAAUGAAGGGAAGAGCAGCUACGGAGGUACAGAUUCAUUGAUCGAAGAGUCGAGUUUUCUCCCAAUUGAAGAUCUCUGAAGCAAGAAAACAAAUAAUCUCUUGAAUCCUUCUGAUUUAAAUACCGACUGGUUUUAACUUUUGAUAAUAAAAUCCGGUUAUUGCCGGUUUAAAUAUAAACAUUUUUUUAAGUCGACAAAAAAAAACAUUUCAAAACAGAUGUAAAGUGAGUCAACACUAUGAUCGAUGACUUUCUAGUUGAUGAGAAACGUGCACAAAAAGAAAAGGGUAACACUAUGAUCGAUCACUUGCUUUCUCUCCAAGAAACUCAACCAGAUUAUUAUACGGAUGUCAUCGUCAAAGGACUCAUAGUUGUAAGUAUUGAGGAAUACAUUUAAUACAUCACUAACAACUAACAAGGCUAACUAAGCUUUUUAUAAUGACUAAUUCUUGACUUCUAUUUGGAUAGGUUAUGAUAUUUGCCGGAAAUGUAACAAGAACGUUAGAAUGGGCGAUGCUAAAUCUGUUGAACCAUCCAGAAGUACUAAAGAAAGCGAGGAUUGAAAUCGAUACAAACAUUGGUUUGGACAGGUUAAUAGAUGAACAGGAUGCGAAAAGUCUUCCUUACCUCCAAUGCAUCAUAUCAGAGAUUUUUCGACUUUACCCGGCAGCUCCUUUACUUGCUCCUCAUAGGGCUACAGAUGAUUGUAUAGUUGGAGGCUACGACUUCCCUCUUGGCACGACAUUAAUCGUGAACGUAUGGGCCGGCCAUUCACCGAGACCCAAACAUAUGGUAAGAGCCAGAAAAGUUCAAGUUAGAGCGGUUCGAGAAGAAAGGAGAAGAACAAAAGUUGAUGCCGUUUGGAAUGGGACGACGAGCUUGUCCCGGGUCUGGUCUAGCUCAACGGGUCGUGAGUUUGGCUCUCGGAUCGAUGAUUCAAUGUUUUGAAUGGGAGAGACUUGGAGAAGAAUAUGUUGACCUAAGCGAAGCAACCACAAUGCGUCCAACGACGCCGUUGCUAGCCAUGUGUAGAGCUUGUCCUAUUGUUCAUAAGAUUUUCAAUACUUCUUUUUGAGAUGUCACUCCCUUUUUAAAAAAUAUGUAUAUCCAUUUAUGUUAUAUCCAUUUUGAGAUGUAAUUAAAAUGAAAGACAAAGACUAGUCUUUGAUUUGCCUUAAGAUUUUCCAUUUUAUUAAAAUUCAAAAACUAUUUUUUUUUUUCAAAAACCAAAAUUUAGAAGUUAAAUGCUACUCCAUUAUCAAAUAAACUCACUUCUAAAUUUCUAUGAAUGAGGAGUAGUUUUUUACUUUGAGAAAGUGUGAAGAAAUUUUUCCAAUUUCUUAGUUUUUGUUUGUUUUUUUUUGAGAAAGGGUUAAGAAAAGGGAGCUUGUUUUAUAAUGGAAUCUCUCAUGCAAUUAUUCCCACCUGUCACUAGAGAUAUGUUCGUAACUUCGUAACGUCUCAUGCAAUUACUGACUAAUAAACAUGUGUGAUAAGUCACCAUUAAUAUUUAUUGUCUAUUUCUUUUGCUUUUAAUUAUUAGGGUUUUGAGUAGAAAUUUGUUUCUUUCUAAUAUUAUAGACAAUAUAUAUUGCUAGCGUUUACGUUUUUUAUUUUGGUUCAAAACAUAGUGGUUAAAAAUAAACAAAUCAUAAAUUUUUAUUAUUAGUCAUUAAUGAAUGAGAGACGUUACGAACAUAUCUUUAGUUUAUUAAAAAAAAAAAAAGAUAUCUUUAGUGACAGGUGUGAUAAUUGCAUGAGAGUUUUCAUUAUAAACUAAGCUACAUAAACUAAUAACUCCCACGUUCGAUUCAACACAUUUACAACAAGAAGAAGUUCUUGAUCUAAAAUGGAAACUUAUUUUCUUAUUUUAUCCCUCGCCAUCUUCUUUUUCAUUUCUCUUAAACUUUUGUUUAAUAAACCGCAUAACAAGUUUAACCUACCACCAAGUCCGGCGAGGCCACUACCGUUGAUUGGACACCUUCACCUCCUGAAGCAGCCUCUCCACCGCACAUUCCUAUCUUUCUCUCAAUCCCUCGGCAGUGCCCCAAUUUUCUCCCUCCGUCUUGGAAACCGUCUCGCGGUUGUCGUCUCCUCCUACUCCAUCGCAGAAGAAUGCUUCACGAAAAACGACAUCGUUUUGGCUAACCGACCAGAGUCCAUAGUCGGGAAAUACAUUGAGUACAACUUCACCACUGUGACCAGCGCGCCUUAUGGUGACCACUGGCGAAACUUGCGGCGUCUCAGCACCCUCGAGAUCUUCUCCUCGCACAAGCUCAAUGGCUUUAUAUCCGUCCGUAAGGACGAGAUCCGACACUUGCUACUUCGUCUCUCCAAAAACUCGCAACAUGUAUGUGAGCUUCUACAUAUUAGUACUCUAUGACUAUAUACAUUAUCAGAGUUUGUAACCUAGUAGUUUGUCUUAGUGUGGCCUCUAGGUCAUAACCUAUAUAUAUACAUUACUUGAAGAUCUGCUCAGAGUUUGUAACCUAGUAGUGUGGCCACUAAAUUAAAAGUCAUAACUUGAGUACCAUGCAACAAAAGUUUGAGAAUUAAUCAUUUGUUUAUUUGAUAAUAAAUUAGGGGUUUGCCAAGGUGGAGAUGAGAUCAUUGUUUAUGGAUUUGACUAUCAAUAACAUUCUCAGAAUGAUGGCUGGGAAAAGAUUUUAUGGUGAUGGAACAGAGCAAGACGACAAUGCACGGCGAGUGAGACAGCUUAUUGACGAGGUGGUAUCCUACGCCGGCGCCGGGAAUGCUACCGAUUAUAUCCCAAUCUUGCGUUGGAUCACAAGUUUUGAGAAACGGGUCAAGAACUUAGCGGGUCGGGUCGAUGAGUUCUUGCAGAGCCUGGUGGAUGAAAAACGUGCGGAUAAAGAAAAGGGCGACACUAUGAUGGAUCACUUGCUUUCUCUCCAAGAAAUCCAGCCUAAUUAUUACACAGAUAUCACUCUAAAGGGGAUUAUAGUUGUAAGUAUUUAUUUUCUACAUUUAUUAAUCUUGAAUAAUCUAUUUAAUAUAUAACAACACAAACUAAACAUUUGUUAAUUUAAUUUUUACAGGUUAUGAUACUUGCCGGAACUGAAACACUAACAGGAACAUUAGAAUGGGCUAUGUUGAAUUUGUUGAAUCAUCCAGAGGUAUUAACGAAAGUAAGAACCGAAAUCGAUACCAAAAUCGGUUUUGACCGGUUAAUAGAUGAACAAGAUAUUAAAAAGCUCCCUUAUCUCGAAGGGAUUGUGUUGGAGACCUUACGUCUCCACCCUGUAGCUCCUACACUUGUUCCACAUAUGACGUCAGAUGAUUGCAUGUUGGCCGGAUACGAUGUUCCAAGUGGAUCCAUGCUAUUGGUGAACGUAUGGGCCAUGCAUAGAGACCCGUCUCUAUGGGAAGAUCCAGAAAUGUUCAAGCCAGAGAGGUUCGAAAAUGAAAAUGAAAAUCAAAAGGUGUUGUCGUUUGGGAUUGGACGACGAUCAUGUCCCGGGGUUGGAUUAACUCAUCGGCUAGUGAGCUUGGCUCUUGGAUCGAUGGUUCAAUGUUUCGAAUGGGAGAGAAUUGGAGAAGAAUAUAUUGACACUAGAGAGGCACCUAUGAUGCGUCCAACUACCCCGUUGCAAGCCAUGUGUAAAACUUGUCCCAUUGUCCAUAAGAUUCUCGAUGCUUAUGCUUGAAUUGUAACUCUUCUUGGUUUGAUUUAUGUUCGGAAAUACUACAUCAACUUGUUUUGAGUUGGGAAAUAAUUCAAAAUCCUUCUAAGAACGCUCUCAUGCAAACUGUUGAAUGUAUCUUCAAGGUUCUGAUCACCAUCUAGCUGAGUCUUUACGGAAAAUUAGAUCGUCACUAAAUAUUAUCAUUUUACCUUCGAAUAUAUUGAUUUUGUUGCCCUGAUGAUACACUUGAAAUAAAUAAAAAACAACCAUAGAGACACUCAAAUAAAAAAAAAGCUCAUAGCUUUAAAAUUUCUUGUAUAUUUUGAAACUAAAAUUAAGCUAUAUUACUUAUACUGAUAUUCCAUUUCUUCACAGUAUGAUCUAAUGAUUUUUGCAAUCCUCUAUGCUUUUGUUGUUGCAAUUAUACUUAUAUCUCCAUUUCAUUACAGUAUGAUAUAUAUAUAUAUAUAUAUAUUGUAAGUUUUGCAAUCCUCUACAUAUCAUUCUUCCCACAGCUCUAUCUGAAAAUUCCAUAUAUAUGUUCAACUUAUCUCUCUUCGUGUGUUGUGAAUUGUGUAUUAGAUUUGAGUAUUACAUUUGUACUUUUACAAUUCUUUUUUUUUUUUAUAAUCUUGAAGUGCUCUAGGAAUUAUAAUUAUUAUAUCAUGUUGGAUUUUUAAGAAUUUUGGUUUUUAUGAUAUUUUGUAAAAAAUUAGAGAGUGAUGUGUUUCUAGGGACAAAAGACGAAGACUUGAAAAAUCAACCCUCGUCUUUUUCCUCAUCGUCCCAUUAGAAAUCUCAGUUUUCUCUUCAAUCUUAUCUUCUUCCUCAGAAUCCUCUUCACAUCGACCACAGGUUUCUUCAUCCAUCGACUUAUUGAAAUUUCUUGUAGUAUAAGUUAAACCAAAAUGUGUGGAAACUAUUCAACACAAAAGACUUUUCACUCUCUUCUUUCAACGUGAAUAACACUUCGUACGAAGGACUAAAUGGUGAGCCAAGCGAAGCUGAGUGGAUAUGGAGCACUGACUAUAUGUAUUUAAAGAGAUGGCAUGAAAACAAUUUAACCAUCACAAUUUCCAUUUGCUCGCUUCUUUUUCACUAUUGAUUUUCAAGAAAGUUAAAAAUUAGCUUAAAGAAAAAACGAAAGGCUCUUGAAACUCAAUGAGUACCAUUCAUAUUUCUCUUUCUUUUCUCCUCUUGUUCGUUUUUAGUUUUCAUGACGUGUUUGCUGCUCCUACUAGACACUUGUGUCGUCCGGAGCAAAGGGAUGCACUUCUCGAGUUCAAGAAUGAGUUUGAGAUUCGGAAGCCUUCUUUUGAGUGUUAUGUUAAUGGUAGCUAUGUGCGCCCUUACCCGAAGACGGAGUCAUGGGCAAAUAACACUGAUUGUUGUUAUUGGGAUGGGAUCAAGUGCGAUGCCAAAUCUGGGGAAGUGAUCGAGCUAGACCUCAGUUGCAGCUGUCUCUACGGCAAGUUUCGUUCCAAUACCAGUCUGUUUAGGCUUCACAGCUUUCGUUUUCUCACCACUUUAUACGUUUCAUAUAAUGAGUUACAUGGUCAAAUCCCGUUCUCAAUUGGAAAUCUUUCUCUUCUUACUUCUCUCGACCUUUCUUCCAAUGGGUUUUCGGGUCAGAUUCCAUCUUCAAUUGGAAAUCUAUCACUGCUUACCUUUCUGAGACUUUCUGAUAAUCAGUUUUCGGGUCAGAUUCCAUCUUCAAUUGGAAAUCUUUCACAGAUUACCACUCUCCGUUUUUCCUUUAAUCAGUUUUCGGGUCAGAUUCCGUCUUCAAUUGGAAAUCUUUCACUUCUUACCUCUCUUGAUCUUUCUUCCAAUCAGUUUUCGGGUGAGAUUCCAUCUUCAAUUGGAAAUCUUUCACUGCUUACCUCUCUCUAUCUUUCUUUCAAUCAGUUUUUGGGUCAGAUUCCAUCAUCAAUUGGAAAUCUUUCACUGCUCACCUCUCUCCAUCUUUCUUAUAAUGGGUUUUCGGGUGAGAUUCUAUCAUCAAUUGGAAAUCUUUCACUGCUCACCUCUCUUCAUCUUUCUUAUAAUGGGUUUUCGGGUGAGAUUCCAUCCUCAAUUAAAAAUCUUUCACAGCUCACCUUUCUCAAACUUUCUUCCAAUCAGUUUUCGGGUCAGAUUCCAUCUUCAAUUAAAAAGCUCUCUCAUCUCCAAACUCUUCACCUCAGAUAUAACAAAUUCACUGGUGAAAUCCCAGAUUCUUUUGCCAGUUUGAAAAAUUUGACCGAGUUAGAUGUUAGUUUCAAUAAGCUUAGUGGUAAUUUUCCAAUUUGGCUACUAAAUUUGACAAAGUUGUCGUAUUUAUCACUCGAAUACAAUCAACUCACAGGAACGCUUCCCUCAAACAUUAGCUCACUCUCCAACUUGCGAUAUUUUUGGGCACGUGACAAUGAUUUCGUUGGAACCAUUCCUUCUUCUCUCUUCACCAUUCCUUCUUUGACAAGAAUUUAUUUGUCAAAUAACCAACUCAACGGCACUCUUGAGUUUGGGAAUAUAUCUUCACCAACAAAGCUAGAGUGGUUAGAGCUUGGCGGUAACAACUUGAGAGGGCCAAUACCGAGAUCCAUUUCCAAAUUAGUCAACCUCCGGGGACUUUACCUUUCCAAUUGGAACACCCAAUUAGGCCCAAUUGACUUGAGUAUCUUCUCGCAUCUCAAGUCACUCGGAUUUCUUUACUUAUCCCAUUUGAACACCACCACCACGAUUGACUUGAAUGCCAUCUUAUCAUUUUUCAAGUCGCUCGAAGGAUUGGAUCUCUCAGGCAACCAUGUUUCAGCCGAAACCAAGAGCUCAGUUUCAGAUCCUCCUUCGCAAAUGAUACGAGAAUUAAACUUGUCAGGCUGCGGUAUUACCGAAUUUCCAGAGAUCAUAAGAACCCUGCAGUCUAUGGAGAGACUAGACAUUUCCGACAACAAAAUCAAAGGUCAAGUGCCUGGCUGGUUAUGGACUCCACCAAAUCUGACGUACGUGAAUCUUUCCAACAACACUUUCGUCAGUUUCGGAAGACCAACGAAACAUGGACUAUCCUCUGGCUUGUGGUACUUGUCUGGCUCCAGAAACAAUUUCACGGGAAAGAUUCCCUCCUUCAUAUGUGCGUUGGGCUCUCUAAGCGUUCUCGAUUUAUCUGAAAACAACUUCACGGGAAAGAUUCCCUCCUUCAUAUGCGCGUUGGGCUCUCUAAGCGUUCUCGAUUUAUCUGAAAACAACUUCAAUGGUUCAAUCCCUCUUUGUAUGGAGAAUCUCAAGAGUAAUCUUUCGGUUCUAAACCUCCGUCAGAAUCAUCUUAGCGGAGGCCUUCCGGAGAAUGUAUUUGAAAGUCUAAGGUCCCUUGACGUUGGUCAUAACCAACUGGUGGGAAAGCUUCAAAGAUCUUUGAUCCAUUUCUCUGCCCUUGAAGUUCUAAAUCUGGAAAGCAACAGAUUCAACGACACCUUUCCGUUUUGGUUGAGUUCUCUACAAAACCUGCAAGUUCUUGUCUUACGCUCCAAUGCAUUCCAUGGACCGAUUCAUCGAGCCUCCUUCCUUCAGCUGAAAAUCAUGGACAUCUCGCAUAAUCACUUCAACGGAGUUUUACCGUCGGAUUACUUUGUGAACUGGAGUAAAAUGUCAUCACUUGGGACAGAAAAAGAUCGGUCGGAUGUAAACUACAUGGGAGAAGGUACCUAUUACGAAGAUUCAAUGGUUUUGAUGAAUAAAGGCUUAGAGAUGGAGCUGGUACGUAUAUUAAAAAUCUUCACAGCACUCGACUUCUCCGGAAAUAGAUUUGAAGGAGAGAUUCCAAGGUCCAUCGGCCUAUUGAGAGAGCUUCACGUGCUCAACUUGUCAAACAAUGCUUUCACUGGCCACAUUCCAUCAUCUAUGGGGAACCUGACAGCUCUCGAGUCACUUGACGUUUCCCAAAACAAGCUUUCAGGUGAGAUCCCACAAGAGCUAGGGAAUCUCUCGUACCUUUCUUCCAUGAACUUCUCUCAUAACCAGCUUGUCGGUCUAGUACCUGGAGGCACUCAGUUUCGAACGCAGCCUUGCUCUUCCUUCGAACACAACUCAGGACUUUUUGGCCCUUCUCUUGACGAAGUUUGCAAAGAUAUCCACAAGCCAUCAUCGCAAGAGUAUGAAACACCGGAGGAGGCAGAGGAAGAAGACGAAGAGGUGUUUAGUUGGAUUGCAGCUGCAAUAGGAUUUGGACCUGGCAUUGUAUUAGGAUUGACGAUUGGAUACAUAUUGGCCUUCUACAAACCGAGGUGGUUCACGAGUCCUUUUGGCCGAAACAAACACAGAAGCAGAAGCACCACAGCUCAUUAAGUGAGGUAAUCUUCUGAAUUUCAUAGAUUAUAGACUAUGUAUAGUAUAAUGAAUUUUUCUGGGUUAAUGUAUACUGUAUGUGAAAAUUAACUUUUUACGCCGUUUUUGUUUGUAUAGCGUUCUUAAACCCAAGAUGAAAAAUCUUUGAAAAAGAGAAUGAAGCAACCAGACCAUAGGACUGUAGAGAAAGAAGCUUGGGGAGAAGGCAACCCAUUUUAUCAAAAACUAAAUAUCAGUGAUUGUUUCCGGUUUAGUUUUGUGUGUUUAUCAUAUACUCUGUUUUUAGCCAAUGUUUUUGUUUCUCUGUAAUUGAACAAUGAAAGACUGUUUACAAAGCUCAAACUUAUUCCUAUUUCUCUGUGAUUGGACAUGAUUUGAGAGAGGUUAUAAUGCUCUUGCUCCGACUAAAUCAAUCAUUCUUCUGCCAAAUGAAGAACUAAGAUUCAACACACAUCUCAGAAAAUUGAUCCUUUUUCUCUUUUGGUAAUAUUAAUUAGCUGAGUAAAAUGAUAACUUAAUUAGUUUAUUGAAAGAUAUUUCACUGAGAAAUAUAUUAGUUAGUGGCGAUCAGGAUCAGCGACCAAUUAAAGCUAUAGAUAUAGUUGCUUAAAACCCAAGCUUUGCCAUUACAAUGAGGAAAAAAAAUCAUCUCACAAAUCAUUCCACUUUCCAACUACUGAAACUCUACAAUAGUCAAAUGACUCAAAUCGGAAUAAGAAAGUUAUACAUACACACAUAAUUUAAGGUCACAAUGACAAAAUCGUCGGUCUUACCAAAAAGAGUAUAAGUAUUCAUCAAAAGACAUCUUCUAAAAUGAAUUAUAUUAAAAAAAUUUGGUGAAAACAAACAAGAAAUUUUUACUGCUUAAUUAUUUUUGUUUUUAAAAACCAAAAGGUAAAUGGAAGUCGCUCUAAUUUUUACUUAUAAACCAAAACAAGAAAUUUUCAGUUAUAUCGUUCUAAGAUGAUGCAAUUGAUAGUAUAAUCUAUACGACUCUAUACUCCACUGAUACUUUUUCGUUUUUAAGCAGACAACUUUUCAGAGUACAAAUCUUUUGUUAUUUUUAUUCCUGGGAGAUGUAUAUCCUAUAAACAAAACUGUGUUAAAUGGAAGGACUUCAUGGACACCAAAACCAGAGGAGAAACGAAGACAGACGGUUUAGAAAUAUUUUGAUCACAUCCAAAAAAUAUAAUUCGAUAUUUUUUAUCAGAUUAAAGAAAAAACGUAUCAUUUUGAUCACAUCACAAAGUCAGUGCAAAAUCACAUCCAAAAAACUGUGAUAAUUUUGAUCACAUCACAAAGUCAGUGCAAAAUCAUAUAAAAAAAAUUCGAAUAAAGAAAAAACGUAUCAUGCCAAACGAAACCAAACAAAUAAAUAGAUAACAGUUGACUGACCGAGUCAGUCAUGGACAAAAACGAAGACUUGAAAAGUCAACUCCGGUCUUCUUCCUUAUUGUCCCACCAAUAAUUUACUUUUUUUCCUUCAAUCUCAUCUUCUUCCUCAAUCCUCUGAACAUCGACCACAUAUUUCUUCAUCCAUUGACCUCAAAACUUGACUUUCAUAGUUUCACUAUUGACUCUCUUUCUUUCUCUCUCUCUCUCUAGAUUUUCCAACAAAGCUAUGGAGAAACUCUGUUUUCGAAACUCAUUUUCUCUCUUUAUGACGACUGUGGUCAUUAUUCUUCUUCCUCGUUGCACUCUUUCUGCUACUUCUAUAUAUUCUCAUCGUCCCGAGAAGUUUUACGUCAACUGUGGGUCGGAUUCUAUUGUCACUUAUGGUGGUCGGACCUUCGUCGGAGAUAUGAUCUCCGGUGGCAACUCCGUUUCUUUCAACAGUAAAGGAACUGAAGCCAUCAAUCAAUCAGGAUCAGGAAUCUAUGAAACGGUUAGGAUAUUCAGACGCCCUUCUUCUUACAAGUUCCAACUCGAUUCCAUUGGUCUGCACUUCGUGCGUCUCCAUUUCUCUGCUGUCUCUUCUCGGACAGAGCUUUUAACUGCUCGUUUCACAGUCUCAGCUACUUCUCACUUGAAAAGUUUCUCGCUUCAGAAUUUCAAUGAGACCCCACGAGUUGAGGAGUUUCUCCUGAUGAUUGACUCGCCAGAAUUCGAAAUUCGAUUUGUGCCCGAUCAUUCAUCCAUGGCUUUUGUCAACGCCAUCGAAGUGUUCUCUGCUCCUAAUGACCUAGAAAUUCCGUCAGACUCCGACAAGAAUCUGCAUACGGUUUACAGAUUAAACGUAGGAGGCAAGAAGAUCACACCAGAAAACGACACCUUGGGAAGAACUUGGUCAGUUGACGAGGACUUCCUCUACGAAAAAGAUUCUGCGAGGAACAUUAAUUCAACACAAAAGCCUAACUACGAGUCAGGGACAGCGACGCCAUUCACUGCUCCUGAUUUUGUCUAUCAGACAGCGAAAACGAU